rnacentral:rRNA from 1 species
AGAGUUUGAUCCUGGCUCAGGACGAACGCUGGCGGCGUGCUUAACACAUGCAAGUCGAACGGAAAGGCCCUUCGGGGUGCUCGAGUGGCGAACGGGUGAGUAACACGUGGGUGAUCUGCCCUGCACUUUGGGAUAAGCCUGGGAAACUGGGUCUAAUACCGGAUAGGACCAUGGCCUUCAUGGGUUGUGGUGGAAAGCUUUUGCGGUGUGGGAUGGGCCCGCGGCCUAUCAGCUUGUUGGUGGGGUAAUGGCCUACCAAGGCGACGACGGGUAGCCGGCCUGAGAGGGUGACCGGCCACACUGGGACUGAGAUACGGCCCAGACUCCUACGGGAGGCAGCAGUGGGGAAUAUUGCACAAUGGGCGCAAGCCUGAUGCAGCGACGCCGCGUGGGGGAUCACGGCCUUCGGGUUGUAAACCUCUUUCAGCACAGACGAAGCGUGAGUGACGGUAUGUGCAGAAGAAGCACCGGCCAACUACGUGCCAGCAGCCGCGGUAAUACGUAGGGUGCGAGCGUUGUCCGGAAUUACUGGGCGUAAAGAGCUCGUAGGUGGUUUGUCGCGUUGUUCGUGAAAACUCACAGCUUAACUGUGGGCGUGCGGGCGAUACGGGCAGACUGGAGUACUGCAGGGGAGACUGGAAUUCCUGGUGUAGCGGUGGAAUGCGCAGAUAUCAGGAGGAACACCGGUGGCGAAGGCGGGUCUCUGGGCAGUAACUGACGCUGAGGAGCGAAAGCGUGGGGAGCGAACAGGAUUAGAUACCCUGGUAGUCCACGCCGUAAACGGUGGGUACUAGGUGUGGGUUUCCCUUCCUUGGGAUCCGUGCCCGAGCUAACGCAUUAAGUACCCGCCUGGGGACACCGCCCCACAGCUAAAACUCAACGAAUUGACGGGGCCCGCACAAGCGCGGACAUGUGGAU